UUUUUUUUUUAAGAUUUUAUUUCUUUAUUUGAGAGAGAGAGAGAGAGCGCACAUGAGCAGAGGGGAAGGACAGAGGGAGAAGGACAAACAGAUGCCCUGCUGAGCAGGGAGCCAAUGUGGGUUCAAACCCAGGAUACUAGGAUCAGGACCUGACCUGAAGGCAGAUGCUUAACCAACUGAGCCAUGUAGGUGCUCCUCAUCUCUCCUUUCUUUAUAUUCCUUGGAGUUGUCAUUGAUGAAGAUGAUGGUUUUUUCUAUCUCAAGUGAAAAAUGGCCUAUGAUUAGUUCUGGCCUCUAAUGAGUGGAAUUAACCGACCUUGUAAGGAUUACAGUUAUGGAUGGUCCUCCAAAAAAGAACUUCAGAUAAUGCUUUUCCCUGUAGAUUAGGCUACUGCAUGUAUUUGGCAAUAGAUGUGAGGGUGAGAGCUCUUCAUGUAGCUUUCAUUUGUAGAGAAAGACAGAACUCUUUCAUAUGUCCCUGACCAAGGAAUAUCCUUGUCAAAUCAAACCUGGUGAGCCCAUUCCUUUCAGAGUGCUGAGUAAAAUCUACACAGUCUUGUGAUUAUCCAAAAUUGAUAGUAGCCCACUUUGGUCAUAUUCUGAGGACUCUCAAAGGCCUAUUCAGAUGGUCCUUAUCCUUUGCCUUUUGAGAUAUCCAGCUAAAUGAGCUACUGUAUUUCCCCUAGGGCAGUCUAGACCUAAUGGGGACAAAAGCUAUGUAAAUGCAAAUGAACUGGCCUCAUUUUUUCCUUUUCUACACAUUCCACUGAGGCUACUCUUAAGUGACUUAUUUCUCUUCACUUUUAAAGUUAUGUGUAUUUUAAAAGCUAGAAAGAGUAAUAGUAAUAAUAGCAACCAUAUAUUGAGGAUUUUACAGUGUUAUUGAAUAUUGUAAGAUUUUAUCUAUGUCACUUCAGUUAAUUCUUCCAAUAACACUCCUGAGGUGAACGUUUUAUUAUCUGGGUUUUAUAGAAUCAGAACACAAAGUUUCUGGCACAUUCAGCAAUCUGUCCAAGGCUUAAACAGCUAGUGGUUUAUGAUUCCAAGAGUCCCACAUCAUCAGUCAGAUUCUAUAAUCUGAACUCUUAGCCAUAAUACUGUACUGUAUCACUAGUAAAUGUUUGGUCAAACAUCUACUUUAUUUAUAAGAAAACUCAGACCGAAGUUGGUAGACUACCUAGGUGGGCAUACUAUUUCUCUAUAGACUUAAGGCUAAAUCAUGUUUUCAUUUAAAAAUAAU
rnacentral:lncRNA from 1 species